AUUAUUAAGUAUUUUUUUGAUAAGUUACAUUUAAAUACACUCGAACAUUCUAUAACCAUUGAUCUUAAUAGUGAUUGUGAUAAUCAAGUAAUUAAUUACGUAAUAACAUAUAAGUAAAAAGAUAUUAAUAUAUUGACGUACGUGCAUAAUAGUAAGAUGAAUGGAAGAUGAGCAAACUGACAGAAACAACGAACUGAGUUCGGAGAUCGGAGGUCGGAGAUGGUGGCGGUGAUGAGAAAGUGAGUGAGUGAGAUGAAUGGAGAUCGAUCGGACCAUCGAGCUUGAUUCCCCUUUCUACGGAGUCCGGACAAGGAUUAAAAUCUACGGAAUCCAUGGUUCAAACCAAUGGUGAAUAGCACCUGUAAAGAUAGACUCCACCAUACCGAUCGAUCGACGAAUGAUCUGCAUAUAAAAGAAGAAACAAACCCUAAAAGAAAGGCAAGUAUUUAUAAUAAAAAGAGAGAAUCAGAGAGAGAAAGAGUGAAGCAGAUAACAGCAUGCUUACCUGCAACAAGAAGAUAAGGCUGCUGCACAUAAUAAAAAAAACUCUGAGAUUGGUUUCUAUAUUGAGGUUAAGUUGCUUUGAAG
rnacentral:lncRNA from 1 species